rnacentral:tRNA from 1 species
UCCCUGGUGGCUCACAUGGUAAAAGCGUCUGCUUGCAAUGCAGGAGACCUGGGUUCGAUCCCUGGGUGAGGAA